rnacentral:rRNA from 1 species
GAAUCUCCAGGCUCAACCUGGAAACUGCGUUUGAAACUACAAGACUAGAAUAUGUCAGAGGGGGGUAGAAUUCCACGUGUAGCAGUGAAAUGCGUAGAGAUGUGGAGGAAUACCAAUGGCGAAGGCAGCCCCCUGGGAUAAUAUUGACGCUCAUGCACGAAAGCGUGGGGAGCAAA